CCUACGGGAGGCAGCAGUGAGGAAUAUUGGUCAAUGGGCGUAAGCCUGAACCAGCCAAGUCGCGUGAGGGAUGAAGGUUCUAUGGAUCGUAAACCUCUUUUAUAAGGGAAUAAAGUGUGGGACGUGUCCUAUUUUGUAUGUACCUUAUGAAUAAGGAUCGGCUAACUCCGUGCCAGCAGCCGCGGUAAUACGGAGGAUCCGAGCGUUGUCCGGAUUUAUUGGGUUUAAAGGGUGCGUAGGCGGCCUUUUAAGUCAGCGGUGAAAAUUUGGGGCUCAACCAUAAAAUUGCCGUUGAUACUGGUGGUCUUGAGUAUAGUUGAGGCAGGCGGAAUGCGUGGUGUAGCGGUGAAAUGCUUAGAUAUCACGCAGAACCCCGAUUGCGAAGGCAGCCUGCCAAGCCAUGACUGACGCUGAUGCACGAAAGCGUGGGGAUCAAACAGGAUUAGAUACCCGAGUAGUC
rnacentral:rRNA from 1 species